rnacentral:lncRNA from 1 species
AGAACAGAAGUUUGUUUGGCUCAUGGUUCUGGAGGCUGGGAAGUCCAAAAGCAUGGUGCAGGCACCUGGCAAGGAUCACCUCAUAGCAGGAAGCAUCAUAUGGCAAUACACAGCUCUGUAGUCUUCACAUGCUUCAGCCCAACAAUACCUCACAACCUAUCGAAUGCAGGAGCAAAUAGGACGAUUUAGGUUUAUUAUUAAGCCAAACCCU